AUGAUCACUUUAGAAAAAAAAAAAGAAAGGAUACCCGAGGCAGAAACAAAAAUAGAAACCGUACAGGCUCGAGCGCUCGACCCUUGGCCCGCCGCCGGAGCUCGUCUCGCCCGCGGCCGAUCCUCUCCAUCCGCUCGCCGCGCCACAACCCGGAGAGGAGACAGCGCUCGAUCGACCACCAGCUGGGGCCCAGCGUCCUCGCGAGUCGCGACCAGCUCCGGCGCGGCGUCCGCCCUCUGCAGCCCCGGUGUCCCCGGCGACCGCCGCCGCUGUCCUACUCCUACCUCGCCACUCGCCACAUUGGCCGGCGACGAGCACCACCAGGACACCAGGGCCUGGAUGCUGAACCAAUGGUGUCGGGCAUCGGCUGCUCUUACCCUGUUACUGGAAGGAAGCGCGUAAAGUUGUUGGCAACCGAGUUGUCGGAUAGUGAACCCCUUGUCUGUUGCGUGCCAAUAUGUCACGAUUCACUGGGGGACUUGCUUGACCGGUGCUCUGAACGGCAUCACGUGGCUUCUGGUAGUGGUGACCCAACAGAGAACACUGGUGUGUUUCCUGCAAUGCAGGAAUAUGCCUGUUCCACUGUUAACAAUGGUGUGGUUUAUCCACAAUCUGCGAUGGGCUAUUCAUCUGGUCAAAUUGGGGCACAGGGCGCAUACAUGCAACAUCAACAUUUUGAAGGUUGCAUGUAUAUGAGCGGGAAUGGGCAGAUGUGCGGACCUUACCCACCUGAACAACUGUAUGAGGGGCUGUCCACUGGUUUCUUGCCUCAAAGCCUCGCUGUCUAUGCUGUUUUUGGUGGGAAAACAGCCGAUCCUGUGCAGUUGAUCUUUCUGAAACAAUUCCUUUCACAAUGGAAUGUCGGUGCCAUGGCUUCCACACCAAAUGCUUCGACGGAGACAGCGAAAGUGGCUUCCCAUGCUAAAAUGGUUUUUCCAGAUUCUCUUUCAAGCGAAGAAUCAUGCUGGAUGUUUGAGGAUUCAGAAGGUUGCCGACAAGGGCCACAUUCUCUUGCUGAACUUUCCUAUUGGCAUCACAAUAGCUAUAUCCAAGAUCUUUCAAUGAUUUACCAUGUUCAUGGCAAAUUUGGCCCAUUCACACUUGUAUCACUAAUGGGUAUGUGGAGUGGGGAACACACAGAGCGUUCGGAAGCUACAGACAACGAUUCUGCAUCAUUCAAUGGCUUAGUGGGGGACAUAGUUGAUGAUGUUAGCCAUCAGCUGCAUGCAGGGAUUAUGAAAUCAGCUCGCAGGGUUUUAAUUGAUGAAAUAUUCAGCUCUAUACUUCCAGAUUUAAUUGUUUCCAAGAAGACUGAGAAGCAACUGGCUGCAAAACUGAAGAACCAGGUUACUAAGCCUGACAGUGUGAGCAACAAGAAGGAUUCCACAGUUAAGGUCAAAGUUAACACAUCAUGUACUGUUCCAAAAAAAGGCAACUCCUGUUAUACAGCCGCAGUGGAUUGUUCGGCGGCAAUUCAAUUUACAGCAGUGCAUGGUAAAUUUGCUGGUAUACUAUCAGCAGUUCAGCAAACAGUUUAUUGUGAAUCCAUGAAGAAUGUAUGGGACGAAAUACUGUCUAAACGUGUUAUGGACUACUGUGAUGUAUGGUUACAGAGAAAUUGUUUAUUGAAUCUGCCCUCUACAAGUAUUUCCGUCACCCCUGAUGAUAAAAUAAAAGCCCAAGACAGUGAUGAAUUGUCACCAAAGGAUUUAGAUGCUACUGAAUGUGACAUGGACUUUCCACCUGGAUUUGGACCAUGUUGGAAAUCUCCUGAGAGCUCCCUCUCUCCAUCCUUAUUAGAAGUUAAUGGAAGUGCUAAAACAGAUGGGAAGUCUGAAUCAGGCACCACUUUAUUUUCUGGCCCCUUAGCAGUAGUCCAGAGGAUGCUGGCAAAUGACCUAUAUAUCUCAUCGAAGCAGUCUUUAUUUCAUUAUUUUGAGGAGGUUAUUGCAGAGGAGAUAACAAAUUGUUUAUGCUUUGGACUCGAAAGCAGUAUUGAUCAGGAACAAAUUGGUACCCCUAUUCAUGCACCAGAAUCACCCGUGUCAGCCGAAACGUCUAUGCACGAAACACUCAAUCCUAUUGAGAUGACUGGAGGCGAUGAACUGAAUAUUGUUGAAAUGGCUAUGUCUACAAGAACCACUCCAAUUGAAAUGGCUGUAGAUGAAGAGCUGAAUACUGUUGAAGCUACAAGAACCAGUCUAACUGAACCAACUUCAGCUGAAACAUCAACUGCUGCUGAAAUGGCAACAGAUAAAAUGCCUACUUCUCAUGUGGAAGAGCACCUAUCCAUGUCGUAUGCAAGGAUAUUUGAAAAGAUGGAUAUAUGUAAGACAGCGGAAUUGGAUGAGAAAUUUGAUGAAGUGCCUCCUGGAAUGGAGACUGGCUUAGUCCCUGUACCACUUAUGGACAAAAACAUAUAUCAACCUUCAAAAUCCAUGAACUCUAUUCCUUUGAUUUCUAGAUAUAUAACCUUGGCUCUCUGCCGGCAAAAACUACAUGAGAAUGUUGUGAGAGAGUGGACAUCUCUCUUCUCUGAUACGAUUAGCAAGUGCUUGGGCUCAUGGUACACCAGGAGAAAUGCUGUACCUAAAAGUGCAGAUGGAUCAUCAAAACCCAAAGAGAAAACAUACUACAGGAAGAGGAAAUUUGAGAAAACGUGUCAAGCAAAAUCAUCAAAAAAACCAGUGGAAAUCUCAAUGGAUGAGCAGCUUUCAAAACCUCUCUGUCAGCUUGUUGACCGCAAGAUUUAUGUGAAAAAUAUCCAGGAAUCAAACAAAGCUUUGACAUCAAAGAAAGUUUCAUUUGUGGACAAGCCCUCCAAAAAAGGAGCCAAACCUGUGGCUAAUGAUGCUCAUGAUUUGAAUAUCCAGCAAGAUCUGACACUCCUUUCUAGUGAGGUGCCAAAAAGAGCCAGGUCAUCUCAUCCAACUAAGAAGCACAUGGUUGCUAACAGGACACCUACGGUGAACGAUAAUGUGGCGAAUAAUAGUAUGCUCACGAAACAUGUCAAGAAAAAAAAGGGCAGGGACAUUUCCAGUGAGACCAGUCAGAAGGUAAAACCAAUGAUCUCAUGCCCAGAAUCAGAUGGUUGUGCUAGAGCUUCUAUUAAUGGAUGGGAGUGGCGCAAUUGGGCGCGGAAUGCUACUCCAUCAGAAAGGGCUCGUGUGAGAGGGUACCGUGUUCGGACUAUUCUUUCUGCCUCAAAUAAUAAUGUUUGGAAAAAUUCUCAAGCAAAGGUUUCAUCUGCAAGAACCAAUCGGGUUAAACUGCGAAAUCUGUUAGCAGCCGCUGAAGGUGCUGAGCUGCUGAAAAUUACCCAAAUGAAGGCAAGGAAAAAGCGCUUGCGUUUUCAGAGGAGCAAGAUCCAUGAAUGGGGUCUGGUCGCACUUGAGUUGAUCGAAGCAGAAGACUUUGUUAUAGAAUAUGUUGGUCAACUGAUUCACCGGCGGGUGUCUGACAUACGCGAGUCUCAAUAUGAGAAGAGUGGGAUUGGAAGCAGUUACCUCUUCCGCUUGGAUGAUGAUUUUGUGGUUGAUGCCACUAAGCGUGGUGGGUUAGCAAGGUUCAUAAAUCAUUCUUGUGAGCCAAAUUGCUACACAAAGGUGAUCACUGUCGAUGGCCAGAAGAAGAUUUUCAUUUAUGCAAAGAGGCGUAUAUAUGCUGGUGAGGAAAUUACAUAUAAUUACAAGUUUCCAUUGGAGGAAGAAAAGAUACCGUGCCAUUGUGGUUCUCGGAGGUGCCGUGGGUCAAUGAACUAAGAAGGCCAUCUUUUGAGGAUUUACAUCAAUAUCAAAGUGUGGAGUGCAUGAACAUGCUGGACAGCAAGAACAAACUGCGCAUUAUACUUAUUUAAGCUAUUGUCCUGACUAAUUUCAAGUUAUCCCAAGGAUGGUGCAAGAGGAGGCCCAAUACAGUAUGAUGCCCUGCUCUGCCUCGUGGAGGUGGCUGGCAUGGAUAUCAGUUGACGAUGGGCUGAGCUAGUAAAGGGUUGUUUUCUGACAAGGUCAAUACUAUUGUUUUUUGACAUACCUGGGUAGAGUCGCAAACUCUUGUACAGGCGCAGGCUUUACUUAUUACAUUGUUUGGAUUGAGGAUAUAGUUCACAUGGUGGAUAUGAAAUGGAUGUUAUGAGCACCAAACUGAACUGAAUGGAUGCCCUACUCCUGUUGAUCUGACUUGAAUGGACGGCAUGGAUGGCAGUGUGGGCUGGAUGACCAUUUGCUGCAAUAGUACAUCCUGGAAACAAAUCAACUAUUUUCCACCCGGGUCUACACGUUUUGCAGCAAUCUGGAGUAGCUUUUGGUUUUAGCCACUUCAUCCAUUCCAGUGGCGUGAAAAAUAUUUAUUUACUGCACCCUUCAUUUGGCGUGUCACUUUAUGCAAAUCCUACUCUAUGGUAGUGCACUGGGGGUGCAAGUUAUCUUUCUGUAAAGCGGUGCAAGUGUUUAUUCAUGGACCUACUGUUCUUGCAUGCAGGUACCAAAUCUGCAUAGGCUUGUCGAUUCAUCCAUGAGGUAUGCAUGUAGGCGUCCACGAAUUUUCCAAAUGUGUGGUAUGUGUUCAUCUCUUUAUUGGUUGCCUAUAUGCUUUCUUCGUGCAUUUUGGUGCAUUUUGAUCAAGCACUAGAACCGAUAGCUCACAUUCACUACGGUCACAACUCACAAAUGCUUAUGUUUUUGUACAAGAUCCAGCCGAAGUAUUAAAAGUUUUAUUUUAUUUGGAAACAAAAAAAACAUGUGUAGAUUUGUCUUGAAAAGAAACAUAGCAAUAUCAUAAAUCUAUAAGGUUUUAAUGUUUUAUAAUAAAAAUCACAUGUACUGAAAACAUAUAUGGUCUCAUAAAGCCACUGGAUUUUGUAACAUUCUAGUACAAUAGAAAUACAAAGCAGUGGUCAAAACAUCCACCGGAGAACAUGUCAUGUCAAGUAUUUUUAAUCGCAUGCCUCCUGAUUCACACUGUUUUGUGUUUAGCCAGAGGAUUAGGUUUGGCAGCUCGGAUGCAUGCGUGCAAAUGGAUUACGCGACUAGCUACCCACCGUAAGUUUUGGCUGCCUACGUAAUAUGGACAAGGAUUAACCCAAAAAAAUUGCAUGGGUUGUGAUGGAGGCAUCUGCUUCUUGAAAUUUUGACUGCCAACCGAAAGAGUGACCAAGCCUUAAAAGUGACAAGGUUGGUUUUAGCAAAACUAAACAAGGUUUUGCACAGGCAAAGGCCGAAAACAAGCAAUCAUGUGCAAUCCAAGAAUGAGGUCCUGCGUUUCUCUAUAAUAUUCGUGGCAAUUGAAAGAGAGCCAAGUUAAGCGGAGAUGGAUAGGUGCACCACGUAUUUUGCUCCCUGCAAUGAUUAGUUACAUCACUGCUUUAAGCUCUUCACCACGUAAUUGAAAGAGAGCAAAGUUAAAGCGUGAUGUUUAUUAGUAGUUCUAAUUUCGGCCGGAAGGCAGGAUGUGGUCAUUUAGAUGAAAUUUGAGUUUGGCUUUUGGGCCUAGAUGUGGACCUGAAAUUACGAAUUUCUUCCUGGGCCUGCCUCUUGGUCAUUACUCAUUGGAAAGAAGAAAAAGAAUAAAAAUUCCUUACAUGCCAUUAGCAUAAACCUAAAUCCCUUAUCUGCAACCUAAAAAACACAAUUCUCAUAUAUGUAAUUGGUGUUAGACUGUAAUCCUCUCGUAUCAAGGUAAUUGUCUGAGUAAGUAUAUCAACAUGCAUAUGUCAAUAUUGCUCCUACUAGUCCCCAAAUCGCAAAGGUAGGCAAUAAUGAGCAAAUGGGUGGCUCGGUGAUAAAGGUGUCGGUAGAGAUGAAUCUUCGAUUGAGGAGCACGUGCCGUGUGCUGCUAGGCUGUAGUGUGUGGGAGUUGCUCAGUGUGUGGGCGAUGUGGUUGCUAGCUGCUAUUGCUGGAUGUGCUGAUUGGCUGUUAUCGUGUCAUUUUUUGGUUGUGGAGGGUAAGCCCUGUUGACACUCCUCACAUGUAUCCUUCCAAAGUUCCAAGGAUGUGUUGUCAAAAAAAAAGUUCCAAGGUUGCAUAAGUACAAUAUAAUCUGCAUCAUGUGCUCGGUUCGGGGCAUAAGUGGGGAGCAACUAAAUUUGUGUUCAAGUGAGAGGGUGGGCAAAUUGAUCUUUUUGAUGCCUAUUAGCUAAGACUAACAGAAUAUGAUCAGCAAUGACGUGAAAGAGAUUAAAAUUUAUAGAUAGUGCUACUAGUGGGAUUUGAGUUUUUUUUUAGCCAAUGACAUGUAGCAAGAUUUCCAUAGAAAGUUGUUUCAAAAAAAAAUCCAUAGAAAGUGAGCUUAGUUUCACAUGAAGUUAAGUUGUCGAGUACUCCAUCCAGUCAAAAGUACCCCAUGUUUUGGAUGUGUAAUUUAACCAUUAUUUUAUUUCAUUAUUUAUUUCAGCAUAUUUCUAAAUCUAGUAAGUAUAAGAUUAUAAAAGUAUCUUUGAAUGUAGAGAUCUAUAUAUCCUAAAAGUUAUUGGUAGUCAAGUUUUUUCACGAGUUUGACCAGAUCUUGUACAAAAUAGACCAGCUGAAGUACUUAAUUUUAUUUUUUUAAAAAAAUAUAUGAUAUUUAUGACAAGAUGGUUAAUUUUUUUAACCAAUUAGCUUGUUAUAUAUACUCCAUUCUAAUUAGCUUUGUUCCAAAUUAUAAGUAGUUUUAGAUUUGUCCUAGGUCAAAUUUCUCUAGUUUUGAGUAAGUUUAUGGAAAAAUAUAUUAGAAUCUGAAAUAUAAGAAAGUUCACUAUUAAACUAUAUUUCAUGGUGUAUCUGAUGAUUUUUUAUUUUAUGCUGUAGAAAUCUAUGAAUUUUUCCAUAAAUUUGGUCAAAGCUAGACAAGUUUUAUUUUGGACAAAGCUAUAACAUACAUUUUGAAACAAAGAAAGUACAAAAAAAUGGAGGGAAUACUUAGUACUUUUGUAUUGCCUGCAUCAUUUAACAAAAAUAUAAUGACAAAGAACUCGCGAGGGGGAGUAGUGCGCCAUUUAGUUUUUACUUUUGAAUAGGUGACUUGUUUGCUCUCUAGUAAAAUUAUCUCAAGGAGAUCGAUCUUCAGUUCAUUUUAGUCAUGCUCACUCGAUGGUAUUACCUCUGUUCUAAAUCAUAGUUUUUUUUUCAUAUAUAAUUUUUAUUAUGUAUAUAGACAAUGUAUAACUAGGCGUAGAACUUUGUUGUACAUCUUGAAAAAACUAAACACAGACCUAUAAUUUAAGUUCGGAGGGAGUAGACUGCUUUUGCUUGAUUGGAAGAGCGUAGGUGAGCGUGAAGUCACUUUUACUGGAGUCACUUUAUUGAGUAUUUUGGUUUAUUGGAUUUGAAGCUUAUUUGAACAGGGGACCUUGAUAGUUCCAAAAGGGUUUGUACCUUUUUCUUCCUCUUUAUUUUCUUUAUAUUAUUACUACUAAUACGACUUUUUUCUUUUA